GUUAUAAUAGCUUAAGUCUAAAGCAUUGGUUUUGUAAACCAAAUAUUAAAUAUAAAACUAUUUUUAUAACU
rnacentral:tRNA from 1 species